AAGGGACCCAGGGUGCCGGUACAGCUCAUGCCAAGGGCACAAGGGAACCUACGUGCACCUCUGGCUGUUGUUAGUACAAAAUUCCCACCUUUUCUGCUUAAUAUUCAGCUGCUAAGGGUACUGGUGGUGAUGCUCAGUAAUCAAAGGAGACAGUUUAAAUCCUAGCCCCUGCCUUGGGGGAUGGUGAUCGUUUAUUUUAAAAAAAAGCUAAAACAGUUCUAAACCUGUAUGAGGAACCAGAGCAAAAAAACCUAAAAGGAAAUAAAAUUAGGCCAGCAUUUUCACAUAGAUUUUCAGGGGAAAGUCUGUAUGCCCAUAUGUGUGUUGCAGUGCUAUUUUUCUAGAAAAAGAGGUUCCGGAAUUCACCAUGAACGCCUCCCUUGUUCUUUUAUAACGGCAAUGGAGCCUGCCUGAGAGGUGCCGGAACUGAGUUUCGGCAAGUUCCAGCUGAAAAAAAACUGUGUGUUUCAAAUGGAGAUGUGAUGCUUUAGAGAUCAAGUUGGUUUAGCUGAAUUAGGAUCCCCUACAAGAUAAAUGUAAAAAGAAAACCAAACCAAACAAUUAAUGCCCUCCCCACCAAGAGUAAUUCUAGAAAAAUAUAAUACAUAGUAUUGUUUUCUCUGUCAUUUCUGCAAUGAAAACUGAAAUCUUCACUCUCUCAAACAGUGAAAUCAGUGUCUACAGGACUAGAGUCAAUAUGGAGUCAUGGCAAAACAAGAGAGUGUUUCACCAUGCUCAGAAGAACCCUGAAAUUUACAGAAGUACAAAACCAUAAAAAAAAAUCAGCAACAACCAAAAGCUAUCAACUGUCUCCCCCUGCCAAAAAAACCCAAAAAAACAAAAACAAAAACCAGCCAAAUAAGGACUGAGCAUGCUCAGUAGUCAUGAAUGUCAGGAAAUGGAAAGUGGUGAGGUGGUGGUGGUGCAGUGUAGCAGAAUACCCUGCUCUGAGAGAAUAUUGCCUGUAACCCACAAUAGGAAAUAUUGCACAAUUUUAUUGAAAAUUCCACUUGUUACUGCAGAAGAG